rnacentral:sRNA from 1 species
UCUGCAGCCCGACUUGAACGGAAAUCCUUUUUUGCUUGUCCUCAUGUUCAAUUUGAACUGAAAACAUCUUGCAAAAAAGAUUGGGAGUGGAAGGCGGAAAAGCUG